GGUAGGGUAGCCGAGUAGGCAGCGGGUUGUAGCCCUGAAGACAGAGGUCCGAGUCCUCUCCCUAUCA
rnacentral:tRNA from 1 species